UCAAAAUAUUUUAUUGUACUGCUCUCACCUAUUUUCAGACUCCAGUAGACCUCAGGUAAUUGAAACACAGAAAGUGUUUCAAGGGGUGUCUAGGGGGACUACUGUACAUGUGCAAAGCAGUAUUCUGUGACGCCUAUCAAAGAAGGUGGUGUAUGAGUGAAGCAAAUAUGUUAAAAGACAUACAGGACCAUAAACUUUGGAGUUACAACCAGAUAUAGUUUAAAAAAACUAAUUGAACACCCUAGGCAUUCAGUUAAAGACUCCGAAAGCCCACACAUUAGAAGUAGAGGUACCUUGGCCCAAGAAUAAAGAUAAGGAUAAGGAAUACUGUAGACUUACUUUAUAAAAGCUAAAACCAGACUUUGUCAAGAUCAUGCUAAGCUACCAGUAAAGUAACCAUCUUCCAGAAUGAAAGUCAAUAUUUUUUAAAAUGAAAAAACAAAGUUAUAUGCUCAACAAUAUAGCAUUGACAAUGACAAGCAUGCAAUCAAUAACUAUUACACAUAUGAAAAACUGGAUAAUGUGGCCCAUAGGUAGGGGAGGAAAUAGUAAAUAGAGAACCUAGAGAUGACAAAAAAACUGACAAUAGCAAAUCAUGAGGCUAUGGGGCAAUAGGAACUCUAAUUCAUUUGAUGGUGCAAAUGCAAAAUGGUACUGCCACUCUGAAAGACAGUUUGGCAGCUCUUACAAAGCUAAGUAGAGUCUUAUUAUAUGAUCCAGCAGUCCCACUCUUAGAUAUUUACACAAUUGAUUUGAAAACUCAUGUCAAAACAAAAAUCUUUCACAUGAAUGCUUACAACAGCAUUAUUUAUAAUCAAACAUUGAAAGCAACCAAGAUGUUCUUCAGUGGCUUAACAGCUAAAUAAACUAGUACAUCUACCAAUUGGGUAUGAGUAGGCUAUUAUUCUGCAAUAAAAAGAAAUGAGCCAUGAAACCAUGAAAAGACAUGGAGGAAUCUUAAAUAGAUAUUGCUAACUGAAAGAAGACAAUUGAAAAGGCUCCAACUUGUGUGACUCCAAUUACAUGGCAUACUAGCAAAUGGUAAAAUUAUAGAGACAGUAAAAUUAUAAGUGGUUGCCAGGAAUUCAGGAGGAGGUAGGGAUUAAAAAAUGAAGCACAGGGAAUUAUCAGGGCAAUAAAAUUAUUCUAUAUGAUUUUUAAAGUUGCAUACAAGACAUUAUGCAUUUGACAAAACCCAUAAAUCUUUACAAUACAAGGAGCAAUCCUCAGUGUUUGCAAAUUUAAAAAAUAAUUUAGGAGGUUGGAACAUCUCAGGAAAACGUGCAGACUGAAAAAAGAAUCUAACUGUAUUACAAAUAUAUGUGCCAAACUCUCUGAAGGAGAUUGGGAUAAAAUGUACUGACCUAAGUAACUUUGGAAAUGAGUGGAGUCUAUAAGACUGAAGGCAAAAGGAACUGUACUUAAGCACUAUAUUUUAGUUGAUAUGGUUAUUUCCCAGGGGUGUACAGGUUAGCAAUUCUGAUCCUGCUACACAUGUAUUCCAGAACAGAACAAUCAAGUAGAUGGAUGGCAGAAGGUGGGAGCCAAUCAUCUUACUGUUGGAGUUAGAGUUCAUGGAAAAGCAAGAAUUCACUUGAUAAUGGAUUAGUUUAACACACAAGUAUGAAUUCAUGUUUAACUUAAUAUAUUGAUGUGGAUAGUUAUUAAUUAUUUAUAGGUAUGUGCAUAAACACAAGUUAGUAUAAACACAUUUAGUUUUAGGUUUGUCACUCUAUCAGUAACUAGCACUUUGAGUACCCAGAGCUUGGGUUCUAAUAUUAUUCCCUGAUAAUAGGGACUAGUGCUCCUUGGAGAAACGGCUGAUUCCAGGACUGGGGCAGAAAAUAUACAAGAUAAGCCUGGAGCACAAUUUUCCUAUCUGUGUCCUUCUUCAGCUCUUUGUGCAUCUUUUAAGACAGUUAUUUUAAAGUAUUUAUUAAAUCAAAUUCUGGGAUUCCUCAGACAUGACAUUUUUUGUUCCUUCAGGUGGGCUAUACUUUUCUGAGGUUUUUUAAUGCCUUGUGAUUUUUUAAAAUUGAAAACUGUCUAUUUCAAUCUUACAUUGUGUUAACUCUGGAAAUUGUAUUCUUCGUCUGCUUCCAGAACAUGUUGUCUUUUUUAUUGUUGAAGGGUAUCUCUGUGCUGAGGAUUUGCCUGAGGUGAAAGCUUAAAGUCAUCUCAGGACUUAGUUCUGGGUCUACGUCCUUCCAUGGGCUUGCAUGGCGGCUUUCUAAAUGCCCUGAUAUGUGUGGUUGUUUUUGAAUAUUCUAAUCUUUAAAUGCCUGACUUCUAAAAGGGGAAAAGGGGGUAAAAAACAGUGGGAGUUAAGACAGUGAUAUCCGAGAUAGUGGUAGCUAGCCUCUGUGCCUGAACCUGAGUGAUCAGAAACAACAGUCAGCAAUCAGAACUCGGAAACUGAAUACACGGAGGACAAACUCUUGCUUGUCCAUCUUGGCUCCAGCAAGACACACCAAAAACAGGCAUGACUGCCUAACACAGGGCUAGGGGGUGGGUAGCCGCUACUACCCUAAAGGUUGAAGUUGGCUAAAUUAAACAGUUUACUAACCAUGUUUUCCCCUGGAAGCUGCAGGCUUUCAAAUAGACUCCAGAUUUCCAAAAUAGUUACAUCAAACAGUUUCUGCCAGUACAACUGUUUUCUGUGUGGAGAAUCCGAUUCUUGGUGCUUCCUACUUCACCAUCCUCCUGAUGUCACCCCAGAUAAGAUUUUAAGCAGUGCUAAGUUGUAUGAUCCUGUGGUCCCAGCUACAAGGAAGGCUGAGGUGGGACGAUCGCUUGAGCCCAGGGGUGGAGGCUGCAGUGAACUAUGAUGGCACCACUGCAUUCCAGCUUGGGUAACAGAGUGAGAUCCUUCAUUGCCUAAAAAAAACCACCUUCGGACAGAAAGCCAGAAGUACUGAGGCAAGGGGCUGUCAGGUUACACCACAGGUAGCUGGUUGCAGAAGGAAUGCCAGCAAACACUUCUAUAACACACACUCCAGGCUUAACUUCUUCCUCUACAUCUUGUUGCAUAGGUUCCCAACACAUAACAUGUAUUUCUUUUCAUUCCUUGUAGCUCUCCAACCCUGGAAUCCUGCUUGCAUCUGCAUUUGGGCUGGAGCCAGAACUUGAACUGGAGGAGUGCCACUCUCUAAAAUUAUCCAGUUCAUUUUUAUUGUCCCAUUAUAAUGAAUGUUUCAUAAGAGCAAGUGCCUUGCCCAUUUUUUCACAUCUGUAGGUUUAGCCAAGUAUUUGCUUUUCCACCACCUAGGGUUGCUGUGCUCAGAGUCCUUGUUACUCCAGAACCUGCCAAGACAACAGCAAAUUGUU
rnacentral:lncRNA from 10 species